GACGAACGCUGGCGGCAUGCCUAAUACAUGCAAGUCGAGCGCUGAAGCACUCUGCUUGCAGAGUGCGGAUGAGUGGCGAACGGGUGAGUAACACGUGGGAAAUCUGCCUAUAAGAGGGGGAUAACAUUCGGAAACGGAUGCUAAUACCGCAUAUAUUCUUGGACCGCCUGGUCCUUGAAAGAAAGACGGCUUUGCUGUCGCUUAUAGAUGAUCCCGCGGCGUAUUAGUUAGUUGGUGGGGUAAAGGCCUACCAAGACAAUGAUACGUAGCCGACCUGAGAGGGUGAUCGGCCACACUGGGACUGAGACACGGCCCAGACUCCUACGGGAGGCAGCAGUAGGGAAUCUUCCACAAUGGGCGAAAGCCUGAUGGAGCAAUGCCGCGUGAAUGAAGAAGGUCUUCGGAUCGUAAAGUUCUGUUAUUAGAGAAGAACAAGUCAAGGAGUAACUGUCUUGACUUUGACGGUACCUAACCAGAAAGUCACGGCUAACUACGUG
rnacentral:rRNA from 1 species